rnacentral:rRNA from 1 species
CGGCCGCGGUAUCCUGACCGUGCAAAGGUAGCAUAAUCAUUUGUUCCUUAAUUAGGGACUUGUAUGAAUGGCCCCACGAGGGUUUAACUGUCUCUUACUUUUAAUCAGUGAAAUUGACCUUCCCGUGAAGAGGCGGGAAUAUAACAAUAAGACGAGAAGACCCUAUGGAGCUUAAAUUAAUGUGCUCUGAGCAACAAAUUUUGGUUGGGGUGACCUCGGAGUAUAACAAAACCUCCGAACUAAGACAUACUCGUCAAGGUCAAUCAUAUUGAUCAACGAAACAAGUUACCCUAGGGAUAACAGCGCAAUCCUAUUCGAGAGUUCAUAUCGACAAUAGGGUUUACGACCUCGAUGUUGGAUCAGGACACCCAAAUGGUGCAGCAGCU